rnacentral:rRNA from 1 species
CAGCCGCCGCGGGAAUACGUAGGGUGCGAGCGUUAAUCGGAAUUACUGGGCGUAAAGCGUGCGCAGGCGGUUGUACAAGACAGAUGUGAAAUCCCCGGGCUUAACCUGGGAAUGGCAUUUGUGACUGUACGGCUAGAGUGUGUCAGAGGGGGGUAGAAUUCCACGUGUAGCAGUGAAAUGCGUAGAUAUGUGGAGGAAUACCGAUGGCGAAGGCAGCCCCCUGGGAUAACACUGACGCUCAUGCACGAAAGCGUGGGGAGCAAACAGGAUUAGAUACCCCCGUAGUCCCUGUCUCUUAUAC